GGUGUUUGGCUGCCAGCCGGGCUGAACCACAACAUGCCUACACUUCACUUUUGAAAUACAGGCAACAUGGUAGCUGCCAUGGAGACCAUCAGGAGUUUACUUUAUUCAACCUCACAGUGACUCCAGAAAGCAUAUAAUUGAAUGAUUCUCAUCUGAAUAGGUCAGAACAGCACAGUACAGGUGAGAGAUGAAGCAUAACCUACUCUGACAGCAAAAUAUGGAAUUAGGGAGGAAAAAGACAUUACAGGAAAGCUUGAAAGAAAAUGAGUAAGGGCAUGUACAUAAGACAUGUAAAGAUUUUCUGUAUUCGCCACUGCUAUUCACAGUCUCAGCAGAAAGAUUAAAUGAGUCCUGACUAUAAGACAAUUCAUAACACCUGCCUAUGAUGCCCCUGUUCAUCCAAUUUCAACAUGAUUGUUUUGACUUUUUUUCAUUCUCUUUGACUCGUGAAUUUAUUACAUGGAUUUCUUCCAAAUGUCCAUAUGAAAACACUUAUUUAUUUUCAUUUCUAUUAUUCCCACCUCUGCUUUCCUCAGUGGUUCCUGUCUGCUUUGUCUUUUAGUAAAGACUAAAAUCUUUGCAGC